rnacentral:piRNA from 1 species
UAGGUAGGUGUGUGCCUUUUAGGGCAGAC